AAAUCCUAUUCAUGAAUCUAACCCAAUCCAUAUGUUUGAGCUGAGAGCCCAUAAAGCUAUUUCAAACAUGAAGCCUAUCCAGGAAAAGAGAAUGGCCUCAUCUUGAAAUGGCAGAAAGACGCCCUUUGUUUGAGUUUUUGGAUGACUCAUUUUCCAGAGAUUUGCACCAUUCUUCUUGUCAGAGUUUCUUUUCAAAGAUUUUUUUUCCUCCCAAGCAUUUGCAUUUUCUCGACACGAAAGAGAGAGCCAGAACGAUAAAGAAAAGAGAGAAAGAGGCCAGUUGACGGCCUUGGAGGAGCCUUCCUUGGCGGGCCUAAGAGGAUCUUUCUCGUUGGCUUUAUGAGCAAACACUGCCUCAGGGUUGUUAAACGGACGUUCAGUCACUUGAGAGAGAAGGAGCGCCAGAAAUAUUUCAAUCACAAAGAAAUACUAUCAAGAGGCAGGAACUUCUGGGGCAUUGCCAUCUUAAGAUUUGCCUCAAACGGCGAACCAGAAUCACGGCAUGGGGUAAGUGAGCCCAUUUUUAGCGCUUACUUUGGAUAUCAAGAGCUUACAUUUUAUGGAUGCCCACGGUCCAUCCCUAUAAUUUUUUUUUCGAUCGAUUCCAAGAGCUUUUGAAGUUUUCGAGAUAUUCCUAAUUGUUUUUUACGGUUGGGAACUCAACCACAUGAUUGGUCGGAAUUUGUGGUCGCUUUCCUCUUGAAGGACCCACUAGACAAAUAUUUUCUCUAGCGUCCAUGCACAUUAAUCCAAGUCAAGGUCCAGGGCCCCAAAUCAUCCAUUCUUUUGCGAGUGCUACGGUCCACUCACUAUUGGAUCCACAACAGCAGCAACGACAAGAACAACACCAUGGACUACUUCUCAUAUUUAUGUCAUGUUUACAAAUUGCAUCAGCCAAUCAUACGCGAACCUUACAAAUAUUAAUGAACUAACGACAGCCUUCGACUAAAGAAUGAUUAAUGUUAGGAAGAGUUGAAGACUUCUUCUUUUCGUGACACCUCUUGGAACGUGGAACUUUCUUGACUAGUUUUGGGACAAAGCUUAUGUCCCUGUCAACGUGUCUUUGUCAUCCAUGAAUGUUGCCUGAUAGGGAGACCCAUGUAGAAGAAAGAAGCUUCAAGGGUCACUCUCGGAACUUGGCAACAUCAGAGGAUGGAAACCCCCAAGAGAAGUCACAUGCGGUGACGAUUGAAGAGUACGUGGUCCAUCAUGGCAAGUGGACCGCGGAAACAUCAACUGAACCAUUAGGACGUAGAGUACGACCCCGAGAUUGAAAUCCCUUAACAGAUCCCAAGGGUCGCUACUCACUCCCCAUAGUUGGCAUGUACUUCUUGGAUCACAACGUCUCAAACUGAUGGACGGGACCCAUCGUGUUCCAGAAAUUGGAAAAGACGUCCCAAUUGUGAUAAAAUGAGUGUUAUUUUUGGUAAUAUCAAAGGCGAUGUUGUGCUUUUAGCUAAUAUAUUCCUGUUCAAAGUUCAUUUAA